AGAGUUUGAUCCUGGCUCAGGAUGAACGCUGGCGGCAUGCCUAAUACAUGCAAGUCGAACGAGAGGAAGGAAAGCUUGCUUUUCUGAAUCUAGUGGCGAACGGGUGAGUAACACGUAGGUAACCUGCCCAUGUGCCCGGGAUAACUUCUGGAAACGGAUGCUAAAACCGGAUAGGUAGCAGACAAGCAUUUGACUGCUAUUAAAGUGGCUAAGGCCAUGAACAUGGAUGGACCUGCGGUGCAUUAGCUAGUUGGUGAGGUAACGGCCCACCAAGGCGACGAUGCAUAGCCGGCCUGAGAGGGCGGACGGCCACAUUGGGACUGAGACACGGCCCAAACUCCUACGGGAGGCAGCAGUAGGGAAUUUUCGUCAAUGGGGGGAACCCUGAACGAGCAAUGCCGCGUGAGUGAGGAAGGUCUUCGGAUCGUAAAGCUCUGUUGUAAGAGAAAAACGACAUUCAUAGGGAAUGAUGAGUGAGUGAUGGUAUCUUACCAGAAAGUCACGGCUAACUACGUGCCAGCAGCCGCGGUAAUACGUAGGUGGCGAGCGUUAUCCGGAAUGAUUGGGCGUAAAGGGUGCGUAGGUGGCAGAUCAAGUCUGGAGUAAAAGGUAUGGGCUCAACCCGUACUGGCUCUGGAAACUGAUCAGCUAGAGAACAGAAGAGGACGGCGGAACUCCAUGUGUAGCGGUAAAAUGCGUAGAUAUAUGGAAGAACACCGGUGGCGAAGGCGGCCGUCUGGUCUGGAUUCUGACACUGAAGCACGAAAGCGUGGGGAGCAAAUAGGAUUAGAUACCCU
rnacentral:rRNA from 1 species